GGGUUGAGGACAGUGCCUGGUGGGUAGUUUGACUGGGGCGGUCUCCUCCCAAAGAGUAACGGAGGAGCACGAAGGUGGGCUAAUCACGGUUGGACAUCGUGAGGUUAGUGCAAUGGCAUAAGCCCGCUUAACUGCGAGAAUGACGGUUCGAGCAGGUGCGAAAGCAGGUCAUAGUGAUCCGGUGGUUCUGUAUGGAAGGGCCAUCGCUCAACGGAUAAAAGGUACUCCGGGGAUAACAGGCUGAUACCGCCCAAGAGUUCAUAUCGACGGCGGUGUUUGGCACCUCGAUGUCGGCUCAUCACAUCCUGGGGCUGAAGUCGGUCCCAAGGGUAUGGCUGUUCGCCAUUUAAAGUGGUACGCGAGCUGGGUUUAGAACGUCGUGAGACAGUUCGGUCCCUAUCUGCCGUGGGCGUUGGAAGAUUGAAGGGGGCUGCUCCUAGUACGAGAGGACCGGAGUGGACGAACCUCUGGUGUUCGGGUUGUGUCGCCAGACGCAUUGCCCGGUAGCUAAGUUCGGAAUUGAUAAGCGCUGAAAGCAUCUAAGCGCGAAGCGAGCCCUGAGAUGAGUCUUCCCUGAUACUUUAAGUAUCCUAAAGGGUUGUUCGAGACUAGAACGUUGAUAGGCAGGGUGUGUAAGCGUUGUGAGGCGUUGAGCUAACCUGUACUAAUUGCCCGUGAGGCUUAACCAU
rnacentral:rRNA from 1 species